AAAGCACUUUAAGCAAAGUAGCGUUAAAAGCGAUAUAUAAAGUUGAUUCUAUGCAAAUAAAGACCUGGAUAUUCCAAGUGAUCAAGACAUCUUAGGGGUACAAAAUAUUGUACGGUCAUACAUCCGGAAGAUGAUAUCGGCGGAAAUAGAAGCAUAGGAACAGAGCUCCAAGCACUACCAAAGCACCGUUGAAAUGGUAAAGGAGCUUUUGAAAAUAAAUGCCAAGUUCUUCGAGAGGCUUACUUAGAGGUUGAACUCUUUAUCGAGGGUGUGUCUGAACCAGAAUCCCGAUUAUACUUUGAAAAGGAAAAUAUUGUUCUUGACGCGCUGUGGGAUAUUGGAGGAUUUGUGAAAGAUUUCCUUACAGAAACUCCCAUAUAAAAUAUUGCAAUAUACAUUUCAAUUGGCGUGUUAGGUUUGUUGGCGAUUCCAGUUGGCAUUUGAAUAGUAACUAAACUACAGAAAGAUCUUGAAAAGUUCCACGAAGAAAGCUAGCUCUCAGUUUCUGGACAAAUGGCUUAGAGGGUCUUUGAAAGAUUUCCUGAAAAGAGAUUAUAUCAAUACACUGGUGCGUAAGAAUUAUCUCUCACGUUUAGAAGGUACCAUCGAUAUGAUGUGCGAACACAUCGUGCCAUUGUCAAUGAAAGCAAACAAGGUUUUGCUCGAUGAUCUGCUGAAAAAUACCCGCAGUUCUAAAACGAUUGUGGCAGAAUUUUCCCCUGUGCGAACCAGCGUGCAACAACAUAUUACACAUUUACGACUUUAUCAUUUAAAGUUCUUAGCACAUGAUACAUUUUACCCAACGAAAAUUAAAACGUUAGUCAAGAUUACUAGCGGUCAUUGUUCGGAUGUUUAUUCAGCUGAAUAUAUGAAAGCAGAUGUUACUAUCAGGAUUUUGAAUGCUCGCUCCUGCGAUCUGUUUUCUCACUUGGGCCACUUGGAAAUGUUAAGGAGAUUACAACAUUAGCAUAUUGUCAUAGGAGUAUGCUACACAGACAGGUUACCAGCACUUGUCGAAACAAAAGUACCGGAAACGAGCAGCUCCCGGCUAAUGUUUAUGUUUGAAAGAUGCGAUAAGACUCUUCAAGAUUACGUAUUUAGCACCCCGAAACUUCAGCGCGGAAACAUUGAACCGGGCUUGCGGAAAGAGGCGCUGCAAUUUUACAACCGAACAUCUCAAGUCAUAUGCACGGCAUUGCUCUAUCUACACGGAAAAGGAAAUCAUCACGGGCAACUGAAUCUUGGAAGCACUUUGUGGACAAACGGGAAGGUGAAAAUCCUAGAGCCUUCAGUUCCUAAUCAUGCAAUCAGAAUAGAUUGCACCAGGUUAAUGGCUCCAGAAAUUGUGUCGGUUGGGACGGUUGGCAAGGAAACGGACAUUUUCUAUUUAGGGACUUUAUUACGGGAGCUUUGGUAUGGACGACUAGCCGAUACCGACAGCCAAGUGGUUAAGAUAUCCUUGAAUCCACUGCCUCGUCGAAGCUGUGCCGCCAAACAACCGAUGCCAGAGGGGUUGGCACGUUGUGUAGAGAAAUGCUUGGAUUCCAGUCCAGAUAAGAGACCGAACGCAAGCAAGGUUCUGCAAGAAAUAAUAACACUGAUGUAACAGUUGGCGUCACUUGAAAGGUGUGCGUGUAUCAUUGCAGUCGUCUUAGGUUUUGCAUGUUAAACUUAUCUAUAUUGUAGAUGUACAGAUUAUGCAUCAUAUCGCUAUAUUUGAACAUUUUUGUAUACUUUUGUUUUUUAUAAAUACAUCAAUUUUCGGCGCAUUUAUUAAACAUUACCCAUGGCAUUUCUUACAUGGAAUCGAACGUUGGUUACUGAAUGUUUAUUGGUAUUUGUCCAAAAUUAAUAAAAAAAGGAACUGCAAAUUAAAAAUAAAUCCUUAUCACAAAUUGCAAAAAAAUAACUUAUUUUUUUUAAGAAAAACAAAACAAAACACACAAACAAACACUUACUUUAAACAAUCUCAGGCCAAUCAAUGCAUUGUAUUAUUAUGCUUCACUUAUUCCCGUAAAGUUGCAUCCAUCUACGAUAUUUCUUUUGCGAAAUUUGCGACGUCGAUUUCAUUUUUACACAUGCGCUUCACUCUUUUUCUGAAUAUUGGUUGCAAUCCCGUUUUUUUUAUUUAAUAUAUAAUGUUGUUUAUUUUCCUCGAAUAUACAUUUAUAUGAUUUGGCUCUAUUUUCAUUCAUUUUCACAUUAUUUUAAGAUACACAUGCAUGCUGUAUAUCUUGUAAGAGAUGCGUGGAUCGCCAGGAAAUGCAAAAUUGCUUACAUGUCACAAUUGUUACCUCAAUGUCAUCAAUUGAUAACAAAUACAAUUCAUUUCGUGACGGAGUAUAUGUACCGUCGUUUAGAUGGUGCGUUUGAUUAUAUCGAUCAUUUUAUCACAAAAUAAAUCGUAUGACAAACUGUAUUUAAAAUAGCUUUGUAGUUGUUAUGCACGUUUGUAAGUUUUCCGUAUUGCUUUCUAUACUGUAAUCAAAAUGGUCCAACGAUGAUCCCUGUGUUAUAUGUUUUAUAUGUUUAAUGGAUCAGACUAUUCGGAUUAUACGGAUUCCGAUUCGUUACAGACUUACCUUGUGCUAAGUUAUGUAAAUGUGUCUACUUUGUUUUGAAUUACAAUUUAUUUUGCUGUUUUUCUUUUCCAUUUGAGAUCAUUGUUUUAUCAGUUUGUGUCAUUUAUUGUAAAGAUAUUUAUUGUUAAUUGGAGGCAAUUGAAUCCUAACAUGGUGUCAUGUUCUACAUGAUUUUACAGCAUGCCAUAAAGUAUGCUUAUCUGGAAAUUAUCGAAAGUUACAUGGGAAUUUCGAUGUCAAGAAGUAAAUAAUGAAUAUCUAAUUGCACUGUCUCUACAACUAGAAUGUGAAUAUGUAUUAACAAGAAGAAGCGAUCUGCUGUGCGUAAAUGCUGUAUUUUAUGUGGAUACAUCCAUCGACCUAUACUAUGAAGUGCUAGUACAAUUGUGUGCAUAAUUUAACAAGUAAGACGAAUGCAUCCACUUAAAAUUUGCUUAUUUUGCUUGUAUCUGAUUAAUGUCCCACAUCUUCGAAAACAGGUGCCGUUUGCUAUUAAUUCAAAUAAUCCUAUGAAGUUAAAUAAAACUGCACCAAAUACGUAUUAUUUUUCUAUUAUUUCAAAUCGUUACAACAUUUACGUUGAUAGCAGUUUACUAGGUAUCAUGGAUUUUUUUAAUACAAACGAAGAACAUAAUUAUUUCAAAUUGAAUAAAAAUCCACAAGCUUA